rnacentral:misc_RNA from 1 species
GAUGAAGAACGCAGCGAAAUGCGAUAAGUAGUGUGAAUUGCAGAAUUCAGUGAAUCAUCGAAUCUUUGAACGCACAUUGCGCCCCAUGGUAUUCCGUGGGGCAUGCCUGUUCGAGCGUCAUUUACCCCCUCAAGCUCCGCUUGGUGUUGGGCGUCUGUCCCGCUUCGCGCGCGGACUCGCCCCAAAGGUAUUGGCAGCGGUCGUGCCAGCUUCUCGCGCAGCACAUUGCGCUUCUCGAGGCACCGGUGGGCCCGCGUCCAUCAAGCUCACCCCCCCAGUUUGGCCUCGGAUCAGGUAGGGAUACCCGCUGAACUUAAGCAUAUCAAUAAGCGGAGGA